UGGGUGGUGGGUUGGGUAGGAUGGGUGAGUCUUCCCAGGCCCUUCAUUCCAUCUGAGCUACAUGUGCCAGGAGGAGCCCUUGAUAAGCCAAGACAGCUCUACAUAUGCCAGCCUCACACAGCUCAGCAGGGACUUGACACUGUCACACAAGUAGCUCUCAUCUUUCUGGGCAGUUGGCAAAUCCAAAAUUUCUAGAUACAGGGGUUUAAGGUGGUAAUCUGGAAGGAGAGAAGGAUUAGGGGCCUUGACUCGAGGCUGCUUUGUUCAGCAAGCAUAAAAUCUUUACUUAGCUUGAAUGCUUAUUUUGACAUAUUUUGGAGGGAGGCAGCUGGAGAUACUGGAGAGAGAUGCUAAGGAAACCCCAGGUCACCCCUAGAUACUGCGCAUGGAACCCAGGUUUGGUAAAUACUGCAAAGCCUCCAUAGUGUAAGAAGCAUGAGAUGUUUUUUUUGGAGAGUCUGAAUUCACUCUCCGGGAAAGUGUUUAUCAAAGUGUUGUCCUACUGAACUAGAAUAUCAGGGGUGAUGGUAGAGGGGAGGAUUUCCAGGAAGGGAGAGUCUGCAUAUUUGUUUGUUUGCUUGUUUGUUUAUCUAGCCACGCCAUGCGGCAUGUGGGAUCUCAGUUCCCCGACCAGAGAUUGAACCCGCACCUCCUGCAGUGGAAUUGUGGAGUCUUAACUACUGGACUGUCAGGGAAGUCCCUGCAUUUUUAAUAAGCAUCUUAGAUAGAGCUUAAUGGGGAGUAAAGUUUGGAUGUAUCAUCUAUGAAAAGAAUCUCAAGAUCACUUGCCUCUCUGAUGUAUGGAAUUUCUUCAUUUUUGUACAUUCUUCAGCUUUUGGUUUUGAUUAUGUCCUUGUAGUCUCUUGGGAUAGGAAUGCCUCUCCUGGAUUAUUUUCUCCACUGUGUCUAGGAAGUCUGCAUCUUUCCAAAUGAGUUGUGCUGUCAAAGAGUGUCCCUAGAAACCUCUCAUGUUCCAUCUAAGAGGAAGAUGACUUGCAUUUAUAGCACACAGUAUAGGCAGUGACCUUGGGCAAGAAGAAAAGCAAUGAUAUUAAUACCAUAUAUUUGAAUAAUGUUCUACAGUUAAGUUGAAUUAAAUUGCAUAGUUAAAUUCAUAAAUUAUAUGAUUACAUCAAUUCUCACAACUUGCUGUGAGGAUCGGUAAUAUUAUUCUUAUUUUACAGAUUAAGACAUUGAGGUUCAAAGAAGACAAGGCCUUACCAUAGGUCAGUGGACUUACAUAUGGAAGGAUGGGUCCUGGAGUCAGGGUCUUCCAACAACUGGCCUGCUGAUGCUGACUCAUGCCACCCAACGGCCUCCUGAAUGGCUUUCGUGCACAUACCUUGUAAGUUGAUGCUUAGAGCAGAGUUGUUGUGUCAGAUCACCUGGGCUCUGAUCUUUGUGAUUUCUGUGGGAAAAUCUCCAUUUAAGUUGCCAUGGACAUCCACGUGCUGAAUGAUCAUUUUCUCUUGGGAAAGACAUUUCUGAGUUGCUCUAGCCUUCCCCGUGUUACCUGAGGCCUCACUACUUUUGAAAUGGUUCACACUCUUACCUUAUUUGUGUGAUAUUACCCCAGGGAAAGGAUGAAUCUAAGAGUUCCAAAGAACCUUUCUCCUCAUAUCUGAUUAUGUUAUGUUUACAGACACAUCUAGGCAUAGGCUUUUUGGAUUUUCUACUGCUUUAUUUUGAUCAUCUUGAUUUAAUCCAUGUGAGCUCAUUUUCCUCAUUAAAGUCAUCUUAUUAAAGAAGGAAAAGGGACCUUAUAGGCUCCUGCUAGAUUUUCCUGAGCAACAGGGGUCCAUCCAGUCUCUGCCAUGCCCUUCUGGUGAUGGGGACACGCUGUCAGGGGCUGCAGCCCCUAAUAACUAGAUUCCUUUCAUUGUCACAUAAUUCUUUAUGUGGGCUGAGACUUUCAACCUUUAUCUUCCACACAUUGGUCCUUGUUUUGAUCUCUUAAGGAAUACAGAGGUCUUGUCCCUUGUUUUCAUGUGAGAGAUUUUCAAACACGCGAGCCAGUCAUCAUGUAGGUCUAGAGUUAGAUGAUUCAGAGCUGUUAUGGGCUGAAUUCUACCCCAAAGUUCACAUCUUUAAGUCCUGACCCCUAACUUCAGAAUGUGAUUGUGUUUGUAGAUAAUGUCUUGAAAGAGGCAAUAAAUUAAAAUGAGGUUAUUGGGGUAAGCCCUAUUCCAAUAUGGAUGGUGUCUUAAUAAUAAGAAGAAAUUAGGACACAGAGACACACAGAAAGAAGACCAUGUGAAGACCCAGGGAGAAGAUGGCCAUCUACAAGCCAAGGAGACAGGCCCCAGAGGAAACCAACCCUGACAACAUCUUAUCUCAGACUUCUAGCCUCCAGAACUGUGAGAAUAUAAAUGUCUGUGGUUUAAGCCACCCAGUUUGUGGUACCUUGCUAUGGCAGCCUGAGCAGACUAAUACAUGAAUCAAAUAUAUAUGGGGUUGGAGUCAAGGAGAUGGGGAAGAUCAACUAAGCAAAUGUGCAGGGGGAGAGGGUAAAAGGGCCAUGGGGUAAAAGCCUUACAGAGUAGGUAUUGGGAGAGGGCCUGGGAGCCAUACUGUGAGAAAAAUCGAGAGAGCACAGUGAAAGAAGACAUGGGAAGAAAGAGUUCUUUGCUCCUUUUAUACUGGGUUCUAAAUUCCUUAACCUUGUGUUCACUUUUGUCAACAUUGUCUUUAGUGCUUAAACACUCUCUCCUUUCCUUGUCCCCAUGCACCAAAUUUAGAAGGUGUGGGUUUUAAAUCUGAAAAUUGGUCAUCACAGCAUUCAAAGGUAAGGUUAAAGUGUUAAUAUUAGUGUUGUUGAAUUAGGGGGUCAGUCUCAGAAGUUCCUUGGGGAAUCAUUCUAAGAAUAUAUUUCUUUGACACAGAUUACAAAAUUCAAUUUCAGUGUAGAUUUAUGGUGGGGUAGUAAAAUACAUUAUGAAGCCAAACAAACAAGCAAAUAAAUAAACAAAAACCCCAAACCCCACAUAAUUCCCAGGUGCUUCUGAUGUGCACACUGUUUGGGAUACACUAAUUCAGAUGAAAAUAAAAAUGAAUUCCUUCUAUAUGCCUGGAAAUGAUGCCAGACCAUUGUAGAUUUCAAACUUCAUGAAAAAUUAAAAAUGUCCCCCUUUUGAGGGGAAUGUUUUAUGAAUCCAGUAAACAUAGCCUAAAUUUCCUAUUCUUAUUACCUUAUUACUUUUCAGAAUAAUGUUGAAAAUGAUGGUUAUCCUGGGAAAACCAGGAUAUUUGGGGAUGUUUAUGCUCCUUUUCCCAGCAAUGGCUUCCCCUGGCCAGCCGGCACUGUUCUUUUCCCAUAUUUCAGGAUCUCAGCGUGAAAGAAGCUAUGAAAGCUUACACCAGUCAAUCAUACUGACCAUCACGUUAUUCUUUGUGAUUUAGGAGAAUGCCCCUGUUUCCUCAAGUGCUCUAUCUGCUGAGAAUUAGGAACCAUUUCUAUGUACUAAAGAACUAUCGCUCACCAGGAAGUAUACUGUUCCUUCUUGUGGAGGAAAACUUAUGACAUUGAACUUGAUAACAGCCAUUAUUUUCACAAGCUCAAAUAAAACAAGUCUUCUUUGUCUCCCCUCCCACCUCUACAGGUUCAAGUAUGUGGAGGAGAACAAACUGAAAAGAAAGCAUCAUAGGUUUUAGACUGAAACAAAUCAGGGCUAACCAGUGGCUGAAAACCAACAACUGGAAGACACAAGAGAGAUGGAGGAAGCCCCUUGGCAGUAGAUGGCUGGGUCCCCGAGUCACCACCUGAAGAAGGACAACCCAGGAGUGUGUCUGACCAGGAAACCCCACUUUGGACUCGCCAUUGGUUCCGGACGCGCAGGCUCAGCGGCCAUGGUUCACGGGCCCAGCCGCUCCGCGGCAUAUGGUAUCUUCCCGGACCGGG